CCUACGGGGGGCAGCAGUGAGGAAUAUUGGUCAAUGGGCGCUAGCCUGAACCAGCCAAGUAGCGUGAAGGAUGACUGCCCUACGGGUUGUAAACUUCUUUUAUAAAGGAAUAAAGUGAGGCACGUGUGCCUUUUUGUAUGUACUUUAUGAAUAAGGAUCGGCUAACUCCGUGCCAGCAGCCGCGGUAAUACGGAGGAUCCGAGCGUUAUCCGGAUUUAUUGGGUUUAAAGGGAGCGUAGAUGGGUUGUUAAGGCAGUUGUGAAAGUUUGCGGCUCAACCGUAAAAUUGCAAUUGAUACUGGCAGGUGUGAGUAAAGUUGAGGGUGGCGGGAUUUGGGGGGGAGCGGGGAAA
rnacentral:rRNA from 1 species